CAGUGUUAUAGCUCUUUUAGAAUUUGUUUAGCAGGUUUUCCAGUUUUUACCAAAAAUACCCCA
rnacentral:snRNA from 1 species